rnacentral:rRNA from 1 species
AACGAACGCUGGCGGCAUGCCUAACACAUGCAAGUCGAACGAGACCUUCGGGUCUAGUGGCGCACGGGUGCGUAACGCGUGGGAAUCUGCCCUCUGGUACGGAAUAACUCAGGGAAACUUGAGCUAAUACCGUAUAAUGACUUCGGUCCAAAGAUUUAUCGCCUGAGGAUGAGCCCGCGUCGGAUUAGCUAGUUGGUGAGGUAAAAGCUCACCAAGGCGACGAUCCGUAGCUGGUCUGAGAGGAUGAUCAGCCACACUGGGACUGAGACACGGCCCAGAAUCCUACGCGAGGCAGCAGUGGGGAAUAUUGGACUAUGGGCGAAAGCCUAGUCCAGCAGUGCCGCGUGAGUGAUGAAGGCCUUACGGUUGUAAAGCUCUUUUAACCGGGAUGAUAAUGACAGUACCGGGAGAAUAAGCCCCGGCUAACUACGUGCCAGCCGCCGCCGUAAAAC